rnacentral:rRNA from 1 species
GACGUAGGGCGCGAGCGUUGUCCGGAUUUAUUGGGCGUAAAGAGCUCGUAGGCGGCUUGUCGCGUCGUCCGUGAAAACUUGGGGCUCAACCCCAAGCUUGCGGUCGAUACGGGCAGGCUAGAAUUCGGUAGGGGAGACUGGAAUUCCUGGUGUAGCGGUGAAAUGCGCAGAUAUCAGGAGGAACACCGGUGGCGAAGGCGGGUCUCUGGGCCGAUAUUGACGCUGAGAGCGAAAGCGUGGGGAGCGAACAGG